AUCCACACCUUCCCAGUUGACAAUUAGCGGGCUUAUAAGAAACAGCUGCGCUUCACUACCAGAAGGAGGCAUCUAAGGUGGCUGAGAGCAUUAGGAAGCUAAGCACUGUAGAUCUCUUCAGGAAAGCUUCUCAGUUUAGCCCUUUAGAGAGUGCCAUGAUGUAAUUGGUGCAAGCAGACCCUUUGUACAGCUGUAAAAUAAAUCACUUGACCUGCUGUCAGGCCAAACAGACUGGCUCAGGCUUAGCUGUCCCACUCUCAUCUCCCCAUGCACUCCUGACACUGAGCCAGCCCCACUAAUAUCUGAAGAAGCAGAUUCCUGUUGGAAAAUCCUGAGAGAGAGAAAGAGACUGUGUCUGCCCCAGCGUGCCGGAGGGAGUACUGUACUGAAGUGGUUACGGGAAUCUUCUCAAGUAGCUAAUAAGGACAGAGAUGCUAGAAAUUAUCAUGGUGGGAAUUACUGUGGGUAUCAAGUAGGUCGAUCAGUAAGACAUAAAUAAUUAAUGUGUGGUAUAUCUUUUUCUAUUUUGUUAUUUCUCUUGUUGCUUUCAUUCCUAACAACAUGGGCUUUUUUAGUGCUGUUGUUUGUUAUUCGUGUGUUUAAUGGAUGCAGCGCCCUGUGAUCUCUUUUCUAAGAAUCCUGGAUUCUUGAUUCUUGAUGGACAUUUGCAUUAUGUGUUUUUUGUUGAGUUUGUGUGCAUGGAGCUUCUACUGAUGAAGCUCCAGAUGAAGCUCCAUGCUUCAUCAGUCAGAAAAAAAUAAUAUUUAAAUGAUUACAUAUGCUGGGGAGUGAUAUUCUAAAGGUUUUAGACACUUUGCACCCAAAUGCUCCAGGAAGACUGGAGAAAGGAAGACAAGCAACGUCUAUGAAAUAUUGUUUUGUUUUGUUUGUUUGUUUGUUUUUAGGAGCCCUGGAAAAUGCAUAGAUUUAAAUACAAUACUCUCAUUUAUUUUUCAGGUGUGAUUUAAUGUUAUUUGCAGUCAAGAUCUUUCAGAAACUGAACACGCCAUACAAGAUACGCUUUACAGUGUUUAUGUAUUUAUUUAUUUUUAAGACUUAACAGA